CUGCUGCCUCCCGUAGGAGUUUGGACCGUGUCUCAGUUCCAAUGUGGGGGACCUUCCUCUCGGAACCCCUACGCAUCGUCGGCUUGGUGGGCCGUUGCCCCACCAACUACCUAAUGCGCCGCAUGCCCAUCCGUGACCGGAGUCGCCCCCUUUGGCCGGAAAGGGAUGUCCCUUCCCGGCGUCAUGCUGUAUUAGGCGGGAUUUCUCCCGGUUAUCCAUCUGUCACGGCCAGGUUGCAUACGUGUUACUCACCCGUGCGCCGGUCGCCGGCGG
rnacentral:rRNA from 1 species